rnacentral:snoRNA from 1 species
AUCCUUUUGUAGUUCAUGAGUGUAAUGAUUGAGUGUUCAUGCACAUGUGUGAGAUAUGCCACCCUUGAACCUUGUUACACCAUUGUCACAUUGCCCAUUUGACA